rnacentral:rRNA from 1 species
AGGAAAGCAGGGGAUCGCAAGACCUUGCGCUUUUGGAGCGGCCGAUGUCUGAUUAGCUAGUUGGUGAGGUAAAGGCUUACCAAGGCUUCGAUCAGUAGCUGGUCUGAGAGGACGACCAGCCACACUGGGACUGAGACACGGCCCAGACUCCUACGGGAGGCAGCAGUGGGGAAUUUUGGACAAUGGGGGAAACCCUGAUCCAGCCAUGCCGCGUGAGUGAAGAAGGCCUUCGGGUUGUAACGCUCUUUCAGCCGGAACGAAACGGUCACGGCUAAUACCUGUGAUCACUGACGGUACCGGAAGAAGAAGCACCGGCUAACUACGUGCCAGCAGCCGCGGUAAUACGUAGGGUGCGAGCGUUAAUCGGAAUUACUGGGCGUAAAGCGUGCGCAGGCGGUUUUGUAAGUCAGAUGUGAAAUCCCCGGGCUCAACCUGGGAACUGCGUUUGAAACUACAAGGCU